rnacentral:lncRNA from 1 species
AGGAAGUGUAAAAGGAUACGAAAUAUUUCUUGCAUGAUGUCCUAGCAAGAAUUCUUACACCUAGUUUGGAAAAAAAAAAAAGAAGAAGAAGAAGAUAAAAUCAACUGUGGGAAUAAAGCUCUUUUGACCUGGUGACUUAUCUAAGCAGAAAGUUGCUUCCCUUGAUGGUGGAACAUAAAAAAAGAUUUCAAGAAUAUAGCAGAGAGUAACUGCUGGCCAGAAUCAAGGAAGUCUUUAUGGAGGAGCCUUGUGAAGAAGGUACUUGCUUCUCCUUUGUCUUCCACCAUGAUUGUAAGUUUCCCGAGGCCUCCCAGCCAUGUGGAACUAAAAUAAAGAAGACACUAGAAGAAAAAACCUUCAAAAGAGAAAUAUCUUAGAGAACUGCUAGAGUGGCCAAGACUGGGUCCAUGGAAGAAAAGGGUAUAUACCAACUAUCUCAGGUAG